GCCGCGGUAGCUCAGUUGGGAGAGCGUUAGACUGAAGCUUAGUCAUCAGGCUAGGCAGCCAUCUACAGGUCACCUGUUCAAGCCAGGUUCGUGGCA
rfam:Rhizoctonia solani AG-1 IB, isolate 7/3/14, WGS project CAOJ01000000 data, contig: 19114